GGCAACAUUUUUCCAGUCUUCAACUGUCCAAUUUUGACAUGCUGAUCGUGACAGUUGGAGAAAUGGAGAUGACGUGCAACACAUUUCCCAUGCCAAAUCAAACCAGGGACAUUCAGAUUGCAUCUCAAGCACUGGUUCACCAGGAGACUCCGACACAACUGUACUGAUCAUUUUGAAAUUUGUCACUUGGCAGAAAUAGACUUCCAUAAUUCUGAAAUGCCGUACUCAAAUAUCACUCAGCUGACGCAUAUGACGGAGCACACAACUGACUGAGGAAGUACUCAAAGCCGUUUCUUAAGUAAAGGUCGCAAUACCACACUGUAAAAAUAUUCCAUUACAAGUAAAGGGCCGGCAUUGAAAAUGUUUGUAUGUAGCCUAAGGAUUAUCAAGAAAAUGCAAGUGUUAUAUGUGAUAUAUUAAUGUGUAGCAGCAUUAAACUGGAGCUACUUUAAACAA